CACUGUCACUCCUACGGGGAGGCAGCAGUGGGGAAUAUUGCACAAUGGGCGCAAGCCUGAUGCAGCCAUGCCGCGUGUGUGAAGAAGGCCUUCGGGUUGUAAAGCACUUUCAGUCGUGAGGAAGGCGGCGUCGUUAAUAGCGGCGUUGUUUGACGUUAGCGACAGAAGAAAGCACCGGCUAACUCCGUGCCAGCAGCCGCGGUAAUACGGAGGGUGCGAGCGUUAAUCGGAAUUACUGGGCGUAAAGCGCAUGCAGGUGGUUUGUUAAGUCAGAUGUGAAAGCCCGGGGCGUCAACCUCGGAAUAGCAUUUGAAACUAGGCAGACUAGAGUACUGUAGAGGGGGGUAGGAAUUUCAGGUGUAGCGGUGAAAAUGCGUAGAGAUCUGAAGGAAUACCGGUGGCGAAGGCGGCCCCCUCGGACAGAUACUGACACUCAGAUGCGAAAGCGUGGGGAGCAAACAGGAUUAGAUACCCUGGUAG
rnacentral:rRNA from 1 species